UCAAGCGACUAAGAGCACGCGGCGGAUGCCUUGGCGCAAGGAGCCGAAGAAGGACGCGGUCAGCUGCGAUAAUCCCCGGGGAGGCGCGACAGCCUGAGAACCGGGGGGUUCCGAAUGGGGAAACCCGGCCACCGCACGGGUGGUCACUCCCGCCUGAACACAUAGGGCGGGUAGAGGGCACCGGGCGAACUGAAACAUCUCAGUAGCCCGAGGAAGAGAAAGUAAGAACGAUUCCCUUAGUAGCGGCGAGCGAACGGGGAAGAGCCUAAACCCCUGCCGUGUCAAGCCUUACCGCGUUGCGGUAGGGGGGUUGAGGGGCCUCAUAGGGAGCGGGUAGGCGCUCCCAGGCAGUAAGAAACCUGGAAGCCAGUCGAAGACGUCUGGAAAGGCGUUCCACAGAGGGUGACAGGCCCGUAGGCGAAGGCUGAGAGGCUGCCAUGAGAGCCCCGAGUACCACGGAAUAAGAGGAAAUCUGUGGGAAUCUGGGAGAACCAUCUCCUAAGGCUAAAUACUCCUUGCGACCGAUAGCGAAGAGUACCGUGAGGGAAAGGUGAAAAGCACCCCGGGAGGGGAGUGAAAGAGAACCUGAAACCGCGUGUUUACAAGCAGUCAGAGCGCCAGGUCACUAUGUGACGGCGCGAUGGCGUGCCUUUUGCAGAAUGAACCGGCGAGUUGCUCUUGCUGGCGGGUUAAGCCACUCAGUGGCGGAGCCAAAGGGAAACCGAGUCUGAAUAGGGCGCAGGUUGGCAGGAGCAGACCCGAAACCGCGUGAUCUACCCAUGGUCAGGGUGAAGCGAGGGUAACGCCUCGUGAAGGCCCGCACCGGUGUCCAUUGAAAAGGGCUCGGAUGAACUGUGGGUAGCGGUGAAAUGCCAAUCGAACGCGGAGAUAGCUGGUUCUCCCCGAAAUGCAUAUAGGUGCAGCCUCGGGAAGAGCGUGUCGGAGGUAGAGCACUGAAUGGGCUAGGGGCCAUACCCGGUUACCAAACCCAACCAAACUCCGAAUGCCGGCACGUAUGCCCGGGAGUGAGACGGCGGGGGAUAAGCUUCGUCGUCGAAAGGGAAACAGCCCAGACCGCCGGCUAAGGUCCCAAAAGCAGGCUUAGUGGGAAAGGAAGUGCUUUGGCACAGACAACCAGGAGGUUGGCUUAGAAGCAGCCACCCUUUAAAGAGUGCGUAACAGCUUACUGGUCGAUGUCAGGGCGCGCCGACAAUGUAACGGGGCUAUGCCUGCUACCGAAGCUGCGGAUGUGGAAACACAUGGUAGGGGAGCGUCGCGUGUGCGGUGAAGCAUGAGGGUAACCCCGUGUGGAGCGCACGCGAGAGCGAAUGCCGGUAUGAGUAGCGAGAAGGGCAGUGAGAAUCUGCCCCGCCGAAAGCCUAAGGGUUCUUAAGGAAGGUUCGUCCCCUUGAGUUUAGCCGGGCCUAAGGUGAGGCCGAAAGGCGUAGCCGAUGGACAGCUGGUUUAUAUUCCAGCGCCACCGGAUGAUGAUUGAGCGAGGGGGGGACGUCCUCGCAAGCGCUGAGCCCGGGACUGGAAGACCGGGUUCUCCUGUAGGGAGUGAGCGCAGGUAAAACCGUGCUCGACAUACUCCUGGCAGGAGACGAACCAACCCGCAAGGGGCGGUGAAGCGGUGGGAGCGAGGGCCAAGAAAAGCCCCUAGUGAGUCAUCUGGUGACCGUACCGCAAACCGACACAGGUAGGCGAGGAGAAGAUCCUCAGGCGUGCGAGAGAACCCUCGUUAAGGAACUCGGCAAUCUCACCCCGUAACUUCGGGAGAAGGGGUGCCCUGGCUGGACAGGAUUGAAACAUCCUGGAUUGGCUGGGGUUGCAACAAAGAGGCUCGAGCGACUGUUUAACAAAAACACAGGUCUCUGCAAAGCCGAAAGGCGACGUAUAGGGGCUGACACCUGCCCAACGCCAGAAGGUUAAAAGGAGGGGUUAGGCGCAAGCCGAAGCUCUGAAUUGAAGCCCUGGUGAGUGGCGGCCGUAACUAUAACGGUCCUAAGGUAGCGAAAUUCCUUGUCGGGUAAGU
rnacentral:rRNA from 1 species